CACUGCCGAGAAAAGCCUCUAGAUAGAAAAUAGGUGCCCGUACCGCAAACCGACACAGGUAGUCAAGAUGAGAAUUCUAAGGUGAGCGAGCGAACUCUCGUUAAGGAACUCGGCAAAAUGACCCCGUAACUUCGGGAGAAGGGGUGCUCUUUAGGGUUAACGCCCAGAAGAGCCGCAGUGAAUAGGCCCAAGCGACUGUUUAUCAAAAACACAGGUCUCUGCUAAACCGUAAGGUGAUGUAUAGGGGCUGACGCCUGCCCGGUGCUGGAAGGUUAAGAGGAGUGGUUAGCUUCUGCGAAGCUACGAAUCGAAGCCCCAGUAAACGGCGGCCGUAACUAUAACGGUCCUAAGGUAGCGAAAUUCCUUGUCGGGUAAGUUCCGACCCGCACGAAAGGCGUAACGAUUUGGGCACUGUCUCAACGAGAGACUCGGUGAAAUCAUAGUACCUGUGAAGAUGCAGGUUACCCGCGACAGGACGGAAAGACCCCGUGGAGCUUUACUGUAGCCUGAUAUUGAAAUUCGGCACAGCUUGUACAGGAUAGGUAGGAGCCUUUGAAACGUGAGCGCUAGCUUACGUGGAGGCGCUGGUGGGAUACUACCCUAGCUGUGUUGGCUUUCUAACCCGCACCACUUAUCGUGGUGGGAGACAGUGUCAGGCGGGCAGUUUGACUGGGGCGGUCGCCUCCUAAAAGGUAACGGAGGCGCUCAAAGGUUCCCUCAGAAUGGUUGGAAAUCAUUCAUAGAGUGUAAAGGCAUAAGGGAGCUUGACUGCGAGACCUACAAGUCGAGCAGGGUCGAAAGACGGACUUAGUGAUCCGGUGGUUCCGCAUGGAAGGGCCAUCGCUCAACGGAUAAAAGCUACCCCGGGGAUAACAGGCUUA
rnacentral:rRNA from 1 species